GAGAGAGGCUCGCCAGCAACAAGGACUGCUAAUCUUCGCCUCCCUGGUUGAACCCCAGGGCUCACUCG
rnacentral:tRNA from 1 species